rnacentral:lncRNA from 1 species
UUUACAAUGCACUGGCUUUAUAUCCAACUUGGUAGAACACGAUUCAUAUUCGAUUCAGGUUGGAUUCAGGUUGUUACACGAAAUAGCAAAGCAUGAUGGCAGCACCGACCCAAUCCACUAUUGGUUACACAAUAUAUAUUCCACAAAUUGAAGGAAAUAUAAACCAUGGAUUACAUGGAAAUAUAUCACACAAUAGGAGGAACUAAGCACUAAGAACAGUAAUGGUUUGCUUAAUAAUUAUACUUUGAAUCAACAUAGGCAUCAUGGUUUCUAUUCUUUCUGCCGCCUCUUCCAAAAGCAAUCCGACCAAUUGUCUUCUCAAUAAUUACGGACAUCACGUAGACUUGAAACAAAAAUGGGGAUCGGUGAGCCUUCCUAUGAAGUGCACAUAACCACAUACAAAUAUUAGAUGUUUAGAUGACAAAAAUAUCCCACCGAGGGUCGGCAUCAGCAAGAACAAAUGCUCAUGAAACUGUACCAGAAUACUUAAGAAGCUGCAUAAUCAUACUUAUCUUUCUAAAUAACCUUAUACAAUUAUAUAUUCUACUCAUUAUGAUUAUGAAUAGCUUACUGAGGGUAUGGAAGAUUUGUUCUACAUGUUUUCCUGUCUACUGAUUAUGAAUAGAAAAUGUAGCAUUAACCUAAAUCCGUCCUCUGAUCACACACAUAUCAUGCCAGUUUAUACAUACACAAGUAUAAGUAGCUAUAGCCUUACAAUCAUUGUCAGGGUAGCCUGCAGAAGAAGCGUUGAGCUUGUCCACCCUGAAUAAAUCAAAUCAGAAGGUAACAUUCAGUUUGUAAUACUGCAAUAAGCAUCACUAAAAAUUCGAUAAAAAGGAAAUACAUAAAUAUAUACAUGCAUAUGAACCUAUUGUAAAUGAAACUGAUGCUUGGCAUGGCAAUCCGUUAACUUUACAUCAUUCAAGAGAACAAAUCAAUAUUACCAGUUUGAGACAACAAUAGUUUUCUCAUCAAUGCACUGUGUAAUCUUUCUAAUAAAGUUCAUCAUCGAUUGUCAAACAACAUGGACAUUAUUAAUACUCUCCCAAGCAACCAAAGCUUCCUCAUUUUCCCCCAAUGCACAGAGUGCCUUGCUGAUUAAAAAUGAUAGUAAUGUCAAAUUUAAUGGUGAAAUUUGCUUCAAAACAACAGUAUCCACAUUCAGGUGUUCUUUUGAUCAUUGGUGUACCUAGGACUCAGAGCAGGGGAGCAUCCUCUUGCAAGGCAAGCUAACGGCCAGCACCGUCCGAGCCCAACACAACAGGUUGUCUCCUGCAAAUCCACGAUGAUGGGUGGAUCAGUGGUGAGAGAGAGAGAGAGAGAGAGAGAGAGAGGACCUAUAGUAGAACUGCAGAACUGCAGCCAUGCCCCUCCCGACAAUGGAGGAGGAGGAGCUAUCAGCAAGCACCUGCAGCGAAAGGAGGCGUGACAAGGGGAGAACCAUAUCAAGCGCCUGCGGCUGGCGCUCCACGACCACGCACACCGCCUGGCCUCCGACUUGGUCGAGCCCCCUAAGCAUGUCGGAGUCCCAUCGAUGCGCCAGCCGGUGGCGAUGACGUGCUCUGCCUGGCCUCCUCCUGUCAAUUUGCUUGGACUCCU